UUUUAUAGGGGUCUUUGAGAGGUUUCUUCAUUCAAUGGUCUAGGGCCCACACCAUUAUGCGCCCGGUUAAUGGUGCCAUAAUGGUGUGGGCCAGCUCAAGUAACGGCUGGGAAUCACCUACUCAGGUGUGGGAAUCGUCUACUCAGGUGGGAAUCGCCUACUCAAGGGGAAUCGGCUAUUCCCCACUGGAAUCGGCGAUUCGCCGCCGGA
rnacentral:lncRNA from 1 species